AGUGAACGCUGGCGGUAGGCCUAACACAUGCAAGUCGAACGGCAGCACAGUAAGAGCUUGCUCUUACGGGUGGCGAGUGGCGGACGGGUGAGGAAUACAUCGGAAUCUACUUUUUCGUGGGGGAUAACGUAGGGAAACUUACGCUAAUACCGCAUACGACCUACGGGUGAAAGCAGGGGAUCUUCGGACCUUGCGCGAUUGAAUGAGCCGAUGUCGGAUUAGCUAGUUGGCGGGGUAAAGGCCCACCAAGGCGACGAUCCGUAGCUGGUCUGAGAGGAUGAUCAGCCACACUGGAACUGAGACACGGUCCAGACUCCUACGGGAGGCAGCAGUGGGGAAUAUUGGACAAUGGGCGCAAGCCUGAUCCGGCCAUACCGCGUGGGUGAAGAAGGCCCUCGGGUUGUAAAGCCCUUUUGUUGGGAAAGAAAAGCAGCAGGUUAAUACCCCGCUGUUCUGACGGUACCCAAAGAAUAAGCACCGGCUAACUUCGUG
rnacentral:rRNA from 1 species